UUUGAUUCUAUGCAAACUCAGUGACCUUCCUUGUUACUCAGCUAUAAAAACUUCAGAUCAGACUGUCAGUGGAGUUCACAGCUCGUCAGCUUCACCAUAAACCAUGUUUUCUGUAGCUCUGCUGCUGCUGUUGGCAGCUGGAUCCUGUGUGAAGUGUGAACAGUUGACACAGCCAGCCUUUGUGACUGUGCAGCCAGGUCAACGUCUCACCAUCACCUGUCAGGUUUCUUAUUCUGUUAGUGACUACUACACAGCUUGGAUCAGACAGCCUGCAGGGAAAGCACUGGAGUGGAUUGGAAGCGCUGCUGCUGGAUCAACAACAUACUACAAAGAUUCACUAAAGAACAAAUUCAGUAUUGAAACAGACUCUUCCAGCAACAGAGUGACUCUAAAUGGACAGAAUGUGCAGCCUGAAGACACUGCUGUGUAUUACUGUGCCAGAGACACACAAUAACACAAACCAUCAGUAGACCUGAACAAAAACCCCUCAGUGCCUGAACACUUGUAACAUGAAGCCACCAGAGGAGGAGCCCUCAGACCACUAAUGAUUUCACACCGGGUCACUGUUACAGUGAGGAGAGA